rnacentral:rRNA from 1 species
UCCCCAGACUCCUACGGGAGGCAGCAGUGGGGAAUAUUGCACAAUGGGGGGAACCCUGAUGCAGCGACGCCGCGUGGGUGAAGAAGUCAUUCGUGACGUAAAGCCCUAUCAGCAGGGAAGAAAAUGACGGUACCUGACUAAGAAGCCCCGGCUAACUACGUGCCAGCAGCCGCGGUAAUACGUAGGGGGCAAGCGUUAUCCGGAUUUACUGGGUGUAAAGGGAGCGUAGACGGCGGCGCAAGUCCGGAGUGAAAGCCCACGGCCCAACCGUGGGACUGCUCUGGAAACUGUGCGGCUUGAGUGCGGGAGGGGCAGGCGGAAUUCCUAGUGUAGCGGUGAAAUGCGUAGAUAUUAGGAGGAACACCGGCGGCGAAGGCAGCAUGCCGGCUUCCGACUGACGCUGAAGCACGAAAGCGUGGGGAUCGAACAGGAUUAGAUACCCGCGUAGC